UCGAGUCUUUGAAGUGGGUCUUUGAGCUGGCGUGUAUUCGCAAGUGCUCGGGCCCCGCUCCAAAUCCACUCAACACCUGUGCACUUUCGGAGGAUCCGUGGGGCUUCUUUGAAGCCCGUGCGGCCUUCGUCUCUUUAUCACAAACAUUGUAUUAUGGUUUUGUAGAACGCAUUGAAGCUCUUACGGGAGCAUCAAACACACAAUA
rnacentral:misc_RNA from 2 species